GUUGGGUAGGGGAGCGUUCUGUAAGCCUGUGAAGGUGUGUCGUGAGGCAUGCUGGAGGUAUCAGAAGUGCGAAUGCUGACAUAAGUAACGAUAAAGCGGGUGAAAAGCCCGCUCGCCGGAAGACCAAGGGUUCCUGUCCAACGUUAAUCGGGGCAGGGUGAGUCGACCCCUAAGGCGAGGCCGAAAGGCGUAGUCGAUGGGAAACGGGUUAAUAUUCCCGUACUUGGUGUUACUGCGAAGGGGGGACGGAGAAGGCUAUGUUGGCCGGGCGACGGUUGUCCCGGUUUAAGCGUGUAGGUGUGUGUUCCAGGUAAAUCCGGUUCACUUUAACACUGAGGCGUGACGACGAGGCACUACGGUGCUGAAGCAACAAAUGCCCUGCUUCCAGGAAAAGCCUCUAAGCAUCAGGUAACAUCAAAUCGUACCCCAAACCGACACAGGUGGUCAGGUAGAGAAUACCAAGGCGCUUGAGAGAACUCGGGUGAAGGAACUAGGCAAAAUGGUGCCGUAACUUCGGGAGAAGGCACGCUGACACGUAGGUGAAGUGAUUUACUCAUGGAGCUGAAGUCAGUCGAAGAUACCAGCUGGCUGCAACUGUUUAUUAAAAACACAGCACUGUGCAAACACGAAAGUGGACGUAUACGGUGUGACGCCUGCCCGGUGCCGGAAGGUUAAUUGAUGGGGUCAGCGCAAGCGAAGCUCCUGAUCGAAGCCCCGGUAAACGGCGGCCGUAACUAUAACGGUCCUAAGGUAGCGAAAUUCCUUGUCGGGUAAGUUCCGACCUGCACGAAUGGCGUAAUGAUGGCCAGGCUGUCUCCACCCGAGACUCAGUGAAAUUGAACUCGCUGUGAAGAUGCAGUGUACCCGCGGCAAGACGGAAAGACCCCGUGAACCUUUACUAUAGCUUGACACUGAACAUUGAGCCUUGAUGUGUAGGAUAGGUGGGAGGCUUUGAAGCGUGGACGCCAGUCUGCGUGGAGCCGACCUUGAAAUACCACCCUUUAAUGUUUGAUGUUCUAACGUGGACCCGUAAUCCGGGUUGCGGACAGUGUCUGGUGGGUAGUUUGACUGGGGCGGUCUCCUCCUAAAGAGUAACGGAGGAGCACGAAGGUUGGCUAAUCCUGGUCGGACAUCAGGAGGUUAGUGCAAUGGCAUAAGCCAGCUUGACUGCGAGCGUGACGGCGCGAGCAGGUGCGAAAGCAGGUCAUAGUGAUCCGGUGGUUCUGAAUGGAAGGGCCAUCGCUCAACGGAUAAAAGGUACUCCGGGGAUAACAGGCUGAUACCGCCCAAGAGUUCAUAUCGACGGCGGUGUUUGGCACCUCGAUGUCGGCUCAUCACAUCCUGGGGCUGAAGUAGGUCCCAAGGGUAUGGCUGUUCGCCAUUUAAAGUGGUACGCGAGCUGGGUUUAGAACGUCGUGAGACAGUUCGGUCCCUAUCUGCCGUGGGCGCUGGAGAACUGAGGGGGGCUGCUCCUAGUACGAGAGGACCGGAGUGGACGCAUCACUGGUGUUCGGGUUGUCAUGCCAAUGGCACUGCCCGGUAGCUAAAUGCGGAAGAGAUAAGUGCUGAAAGCAUCUAAGCACGAAACUUGCCCCGAGAUGAGUUCU
rnacentral:rRNA from 1 species